CAGCCUAAUGGUUCCCUGUUAGUUGGUCCUCUAACUAAGGCUGACUCUGGUUGGUUGCUCUGUGUGGCAACGCGUGACCGUGAGAGAGAUCAUCGCUACGUGUACCUGUCUGUCUCAGAGAACACCAGAGGAUCCCAGGCGGUGCAGGACACGACAGGAAGCCUCCCCCAAGAUGGAGCAGACAGGACAGGAGAAACAGAAGUUAUACUGCCGUCAGUACCUCAUCGCCAGCCCUCACCCAAGUUCAGUAUAGACCGUUCAGGUUUGUCGUCUGUGGAGGGGAAAGCAGGACAGACGGUCAGACUAGCCUGUAAGAUCAUCCCAACGUCAGCGCUCUCUUCGGUCAGCCUCCAGUGGACCAGAGAAGGACAGACACUCAACUCUCUCAGACAUGCACAGCAUGCGGACGGCAC